ACACCGGCGGCCCGAGUGGUGAUCGUGAUUAUUGGGUCUGAAGGGUCCGUAGCCGGUUUGGUCAGUCCUCCGGGAAAUCUGACAGCUCAACUGUUGGAAAACUUUCGGGGGAUACUGCCAGACUUGGAACCGGGAGAGGUAAGAGGUACUACAGGGGUAGGAGUGAAAUCUUGUAAUCCCUGUGGGACCACCUGUGGCGAAGGCGUCUUACCAGAACGGGUUCGACGGUGAGGGACGAAAGCUGGGGGCAC
rnacentral:rRNA from 1 species